rnacentral:rRNA from 1 species
CCUACGGGGCGCAGCAGUGAGGAAUAUUGGUCAAUGGACGCAAGUCUGAACCAGCCAUGCCGCGUGCAGGAAGACGGCCCUACGGGUUGUAAACUUCUUUUGUCAGGGAGCAAUUGGGUCCACGCGUGGGCUUAGCGAGAGUACCUGAAGAAAAAGCAUCGGCUAACUCCGUGCCAGCAGCCGCGGUAAUACGGAGGAUGCGAGCGUUAUCCGGAUUUAUUGGGUUUAAAGGGUGCGUAGGCGGUCCGUUAAGUCAGCGGUAAAAUUGCGGGGCUCAACCCCGUCGAGCCGUUGAAACUGGCAGAGUUGAGUUGGCGAGAAGUACGCGGAAUGCGCGGUGUAGCGGUGAAAUGCAUAGAUAUCGCGCAGAACUCCGAUUGCGAAGGCAGCGUACCGGCGCCAGACUGACGCUGAGGCACGAAAGCGUGGGGAUCGAACAGGAUUAGAUACCCGAGUAGUC